CAAAUCAGGUAGGACUACCCGCUGAACUUAAGCAUAUCAAUAAGCGGAGGAAAAGAAACUAACAAGGAUUCCCCUAGUAACUGCGAGUGAAGCGGGAAAAGCUCAAAUUUAAAAUCUGGCGGUCUUUGGCCGUCCGAGUUGUAGUCUGGAGAAGCGUCUUCCGCGUUGGACCGUGUACAAGUCUCUUGGAACAGAGCGUCAUAGAGGGUGAGAAUCCCGUCUUUGACACGGACUACCAAUGCUUUGUGAUGCGCUCUCAAAGAGUCGCGUUGUUUGGGAAUGCAGCGCAAAAUGGGAGGUGAAUUCCUUCUAAAGCUAAAUAUUGGCGAGAGACCGAUAGCGAACAAGUACCGUGAGGGAAAGAUGAAAAGCACUUUGGAAAGAGAGUUAAACAGUACGUGAAAUUGCUAAAAGGGAAACGCUUGAAGUCAGUCGCGUCGUCCGGAACUCAGCUUUGCUUCGGCUUAGUGCACUUUCCGGUUGACGGGCCAGCAUCGAUUUUGACCGCUGGAAAAGGGCUGGAGGAAUGUGGCACCUUCGGGUGUGUUAUAGCCUUCAGUCGCAUACAGCGGUUGGGAUCGAGGAACGCAGCGCGCCUUAUGGCUGGGGUUCGCCCACAUUCGCGCUUAGGAUGCUGGCAUAAUGGCUUUAAACGACCCGUCUUGAAACACGGACCAAGGAGUCUAACAUGCCUGCGAGUGUUUGGGUGGAAAACCCGAGCGCGUAAUGAAAGUGAAAGUUGAGACCUCUGUCGUGGAGGGCAUCGACGCCCGGACCUGACGUUUUCUGAAGGAUCCGCGGUAGAGCAUGUAUGUUGGGACCCGAAAGAUGGUGAACUAUGCCUGAAUAGGGUGAAGC
rnacentral:rRNA from 1 species